rnacentral:tRNA from 1 species
GUCCAGGGUAGCCUAGUGGUCGUGGCAUCUGCCCGGUAAGCGGAAGGUCGUGGGUUCGAUUCCCAUCCCUUGACA